CCGGGCUAUUAAAAUAUUGAGGGUUAUUCAAAAAUUAUCUCCUUUCAUUAUGUCUGGGCUCAAAUGGGGUGACUAGGGAUAUCUCCAUGGUGUUUAUGAAUUACAAAAAAUGCCUUGAGUCAUUAGAAAAAUUUGCUUGAAGAUGUACAUCAUUUUUUUUGUUCUUACAUUUGCAUCAUCCUCCAUUUUAUUUGAAAUCAAAUAUCUCACAGCAAUGCAUAGAUUAAUUUUAUUUGAGUUUGUUUGGUUAUGUGUUCUUUGGAUAAAUAUGGUGAGUGGAGUUAGUAUGGUUAGGUAUCAAAUGGUGAAACUUGCAUGAUCAAUGUCUCAAUAUAUACUUGUUAAAAAGAUAUGCAUUUGAAAGUAAAUUUUUCUGAGUGAAUGCUUGAAUGGUUCAACCUUAACUUUAGUCCUCAAGUGAAGAGAAAUUUUCGGAUUGGUCUCCAACUUUGCUAUGGUUGAAGAUAAUGCACUAUCGAGUAUGGACUCAACCACAAACUGGGAUUUCUCUAUCUUCUUGAAUGUCUUCAGUUUCAAUAUUGAUGGCUUUCAUUCGAGUCUAACAGACUUAUUCUUUAAACCAAUCUUCCAUUUAUGAGUGUCCUUAGCAGUGAGAUCAUGAAAUGCAUGCAAAAAAUGAUUUAUG
rnacentral:lncRNA from 1 species